UGGGAACAUUGUGGGAAGAAGCAGAUGUGAUAAGAGAACCAGGUUAAGAGAACGGAACAGCCAGGUCACAAGGAUGAUAUGACCAGGUUAAGAGAAGGGAACAGCCAAGUCACAAGGAUGAUAUGACCAGGUUAAGAGAAGGGAAUAGCCAAGUCACAAGGAUGAUAUGACCAUGUUAAGAGAACGGAACAGCCAAGUCACAAGGAUGAUAUGACCAGGUUAAGAGAAGGGAACAGCCAAGUCACAAGGAUGAUAUGACCGGGUUAAGAGAAGGGAACAGCCAGGUAACAAGGAUGAUAUGACCAGGUUAAGAGAAGGGAACAGCCAAGUCACAAGGAUGAUAUGACCAGGUUAAGAGAAGGGAAUAGCCAAGUCACAAGGAUGAUAUGACCAUGUUAAGAGAAGGGAACAGCCAAGUCACAAGGAUGAUAUGACCAGGUUAAGAGAAGGGAACAGCCAAGUCACAAGGAUGAUAUGACCAGGUUAAGAGAAGGGAACAGCCAGGUAACAAGGAUGAUAUGACCAGGUUAAGAGAAGGGAACAGCCAAGUCACAAGGAUGAUAUGACCAGGUUAAGAGAAGGGAACAGCCAAGUCACAAGGAUGAUAUGACCAAGUUAAGAGAAGGGAACAGCCAAGUCACAAGGAUGAUAUGACCAGGUUAAGAGAAGGGAACAGCCAAGUCACAAGGAUGAUAUGACCAGGUUAAGAGAAGGGAACAGCCAAGUCACAAGGAUGAUAUUGUCCAGGUUAAGAGAAGGGAACAGCCAAGUCACAAGGAUGAUAUGACCAGGUUAAGAGAAGGGAACAGCCAAGUCACAAGGAUGAUAUGACCAGGUUAAGAGAAGGGAAUAGCCAGGUAACAAGGAUGAUAUGACCAGGUUAAGAGAAGGGAACAGCCAAGUCACAAGGAUGAUAUGACCAGGUUAAGAGAAGGGAAUAGCCAAGUCACAAGGAUGAUAUGACCAUGUUAAGAGAAGGGAACAGCCAAGUCACAAGGAUGAUAUGACCAGGUUAAGAGAAGGGAACAGCCAAGU